rnacentral:rRNA from 1 species
ACCGGGGUUGAGGACAGUCAUCAAGUGUAAAUGAGGUAGAAGAAUCGAGUUGGAAAGCUCAGCCGAAGAAGGUGAAAGCCCUGUAAUCGAAACCUUGCAUACAUGGGACUGUAUCCAGAGUACCACGAGACACGUGAAACCUUGUGGGAAGCAGGGGGGACCACCCUCCAAGCCAAAAUACUGAUAUCGACCGAUAGCGCAUAGUACCGUGAGGGAAAGGUGAAAAGAACCCCUGGCGGGGAGUGAAAGAGAACCUGAAACCGUAUGUCUACAAACAGUCGAAGUCUGUAUAUAUAUCAGGACGACGGCGUGCCUAUUGAAGAAUGAACCGACGAGUUACUGUUGCUAGCGAGGUUAAGUGGAAAACAUGGAGCCGCAGCGAAAGCGAGUCUGAACAGGGCGUUCAGUUAGUAAUAGUAGACCCGAAACCGUAGUGAUCUAUCCAUGGCCAGGUUGAAGCACAGGUAAAAUUGUGUGGAGGACCGAACUCGUGUCAAACUACGAAUGGCUAUACUUAUACUCGGGAGUCAGACAGUGAAUGAUAAGGUCCAUUGUCAAGAGGGAAACAGCCCAGAACACCGACUAAGGUCCCAAAUGUUACACUAAGUGGCGAAGGAUGUGGAGUUUCCAAAACAACCAGGAUGUUGGCUUAGAAGCAGCCACCAUUUAAAGAGUGCGUAAUAGCUCACUGGUCGAGAGACUCUGCGCCGAAGAUGUCCGGGGCUAAAGUGUAAAACCGAAGUCGUGUCAUAUGCAGCAAUGUAUAUGGGUAGGGGAGCGUUCUCAUCGGGCUGAAGCAGUACCGUAAGGAGUUGUGGACUGAUGAGAAGUGAGAAUGUCGGUAUGAGUAGCGAAAAGAAUGGUGAGAAUCCAUUCCACCGAAAGCCUAAGGGUUCCUGAGCAACGAUCGUCGUCUCAGGGUAAGUCGGGACCUAAGCCGAGGCGGAAAAGCGUAGGCGAUGGACAACAGGUUGAAAUUCCUGUACCGGUGUGAAUCGUUUGAUCGAUGGAGUGACACAGUAAGGUAGGUCAGCACGCGAUUGGAAGUGCGUGUUUAAGCAGGUAGGUUGAGCUAUAGGCAAAUCCGUAGCUCUAAAAGCUGAGAUGUGAUGACGAGUUACUAGCGAUAGUAACGAAGUGAUUGAUCCUACACUGUCGAGAAAAGCUUCUAGGUAGAGACACAUCGCCCGUACCAAAACCGACACAGGUAGGCGGGGAGAGAAUCCUAAGGUGCGCGGGAAAACCCUCGUUAAGGAACUCGGCAAAAUGCCUCCGUAACUUCGGGAAAAGGAGGACUCAUGUAGUGUGAAGUGCAGCAACGCAUGGAGCAUGAAUGAGUGGCACAAGAGAGGCGCAAGCGACUGUUUACCACAAACACAGGUGCCUGCUAAAGCGAAAGCUGAUGUAUAGGUGCUGACACCUGCCCGGUGCUGGAAGGUUAAGAGGAGGGGUUAGACUUCGGUCGAAGCUCUGAAUUGAAGCCCCAGUAAACGGCGGCCGUAACUAUAACGGUCCUAAGGUAGCGAAAUUCCUUGUCGGGUAAGUUCCGACCCGCACGAAAGGUGUAACGA